AGAUCUCAAUAUCUCAAUGGUAAGAAGAAAGAUGGCCUCCAACAAGGUGAUUGCCAUGUUCCUUAUCUCUGCUUUGGUUGUGAUGGCUUGUGUUGAAAUGGGCGAGUCCCUCACACAGUGUGGGCAUGCUUCAAUGCCUCUUUGCAUGAAAGUUGACGGUUCCACCCUGGGUGUCUGUGAGAAAAGUGUU